CAGUCGCCGCGGGAAUACGUAGGGUGCAAGCGUUAAUCGGAAUUACUGGGCGUAAAGCGUGCGCAGGCGGUUUGUUAAGACAGAUGUGAAAUCCCCGGGCUUAACCUGGGAACUGCAUUUGUGACUGGCAAGCUAGAGUAUGGCAGAGGGGGGUGGAAUUCCGCGUGUAGCAGUGAAAUGCGUAGAUAUGCGGAGGAACACCGAUGGCGAAGGCAGCCCCCUGGGCCAAUACUGACGCUCAUGCACGAAAGCGUGGGGAGCAAACAGGAUUAGAUACCCGAGUAGUCCCUGUCUCUUAUAC
rnacentral:rRNA from 1 species